GCAGACUAACGCACUGACAUUGCUGGGAGAGGAAACUGCUGUGCUAAGGGAAACAAUGAAAGAUGUCUGCAACAAAACAGUACCAAUGAAACUGCAAGGACAUAUACCAGUGAUGCGUUGGCGUGUGCACGCAGAGAAGCCAGCUGCCUCUUGAUGCACGGCGAGCGUCUUUGUGGGCGAUGGAGGGCAGGAAGCAGAGGUUCGAGCCGUUGUCUGCUGUCCAUCCCCUACACACUACAUGAACCACUACACUACCAACUCAGAAGAAGAUGCGCGCGACUUCAUCACAUACACAAGAAAGGAGAGGCGACAGCGCAUAGGGAUACGGUGGGAGACAAAUAUAAAUCUGAGUGAUUUUUUAGCAACUAAGCGGAACUACAUUCCUUGUCACGGAUAUCUGACCAGAACUGGACUCGAGGGACCAAGUGGGGGGGGCAUGGAAUUGAUGACAACUAGACUGUCAGCUUGUCCGAAGAUAUUUCAUGCUCAAAGACUCGAUAGGACAGCUCUAGUCUGAUGAGACAGAAUCCAAAGUAUCUGUCCCAUUUCAGUUGGGGUGUGCCUCCACCUUUAAAAAAUAAAUACUUGGGUCCUCCACCAUCCUCUCUGACGAGAGCUGUCCUAUCUAGUCUUUUGAGCAGGAACUGAUGAAGACCACAAAACACCUUCCGUCCAGCUGCCAUGGAAUCAAUGCCCCAGAUGGUACAAUGACCUGGACGAAUGAGAAUAUUCAGAGACCUCAUUCCAUCCUUCCAACUAAUUUCAACUAAAUCAUCAAACUGGCCCUAGAGAAGAAGAAAUGACCUCAUUUUCGACAAAAUCACAGCACCCCGAGACAGUUAGCAUUAGCAUACAGCCCUCAUUUGCCUAACGACCCUCGCGCUGGCUGAUGAUGCGAUGCGAGCAAUGAUGAAGGCGUCAAGGCCUAACAAAUUAUCCCACAGAGCGCCACAGACCCCAACCAUAUAUAUUCCCCUA